rnacentral:rRNA from 1 species
GAUUCGUCACACUAUCAUUAACUGAAUCCAUAGGUUAAUGAGGCGAACCGGGGGAACUGAAACAUCUAAGUACCCCGAGGAAAAGAAAUCAACCGAGAUUCCCCCAGUAGCGGCGAGCGAACGGGGAGGAGCCCAGAGCCUGAAUCAGCAUGUGUGUUAGUGGAAGCGUCUGGAAAGGCGCGCGAUACAGGGUGACAGCCCCGUACACAAAAGCGCAUGUGCUGUGAGCUCGAUGAGUAGGGCGGGACACGUGGUAUCCUGUCUGAAUAUGGGGGGACCAUCCUCCAAGGCUAAAUACUCCUGACUGACCGAUAGUGAACCAGUACCGUGAGGGAAAGGCGAAAAGAACCCCGGCGAGGGGAGUGAAAAAGAACCUGAAACCGUGUACGUACAAGCAGUGGGAGCACCCUUCGGGGUGUGACUGCGUACCUUUUGUAUAAUGGGUCAGCGACUUAUAUUCUGUAGCAAGGUUAACCGUAUAGGGGAGCCGGAGGGAAACCGAGUCUUAAUUGGGCGUUAAGUUGCAGGGUAUAGACCCGAAACCCGGUGAUCUAGCCAUGGGCAGGUUGAAGGUUGGGUAACACUAACUGGAGGACCGAACCGACUAAUGUUGAAAAAUUAGCGGAUGACCUGUGGCUGGGGGUGAAAGGCCAAUCAAACCGGGAGAUAGCUGGUUCUCCCCGAAAGCUAUUUAGGUAGCGCCUCGUGAAUUCAUCUCCGGGGGUAGAGCACUGUUUCGGCUAGGGGGCCAUCCCGGCUUACCAACCCGAUGCAAACUGCGAAUACCGGAGAAUGUUAUCACGGGAGACACACGGCGGGUGCUAACGUCCGUCGUGAAGAGGGAAACAACCCAGACCGCCAGCUAAGGUCCCAAAGUCAUGGUUAAGUGGGAAACGAUGUGGGAAGGCCCAGACAGCCAGGAUGUUGGCUUAGAAGCAGCCAUCAUUUAAAGAAAGCGUAAUAGCUCACUGGUCGAGUCGGCCUGCGCGGAAGAUGUAACGGGGCUAAACCAUGCACCGAAGCUGCGGCAGCGAACGUAUCACCCAAGACAACUUUACGGAGUUGACGAUUGACGGAGCGAAGCGACGUCAAAGCGUUCAUUAAAGUCGAGUUGGCUUAGGGAUACGUUCGUUGGGUAGGGGAGCGUUCUGUAAGCCUGUGAAGGUGUGUCGUGAGGCAUGCUGGAGGUAUCAGAAGUGCGAAUGCUGACAUAAGUAACGAUAAAGCGGGUGAAAAGCCCGCUCGCCGGAAGACCAAGGGUUCCUGUCCAACGUUAAUCGGGGCAGGGUGAGUCGACCCCUAAGGCGAGGCCGAAAGGCGUAGUCGAUGGGAAACGGGUUAAUAUUCCCGUACUUGGUGUUACUGCGAAGGGGGGACGGAGAAGGCUAUGUUGGCCGGGCGACGGUUGUCCCGGUUUAAGCGUGUAGGUGUGUGUUCCAGGUAAAUCCGGUUCACUUUAACACUGAGGCGUGACGACGAGGCACUACGGUGCUGAAGCAACAAAUGCCCUGCUUCCAGGAAAAGCCUCUAAGCAUCAGGUAACAUCAAAUCGUACCCCAAACCGACACAGGUGGUCAGGUAGAGAAUACCAAGGCGCUUGAGAGAACUCGGGUGAAGGAACUAGGCAAAAUGGUGCCGUAACUUCGGGAGAAGGCACGCUGACACGUAGGUGAAGUGAUUUACUCAUGGAGCUGAAGUCAGUCGAAGAUACCAGCUGGCUGCAACUGUUUAUUAAAAACACAGCACUGUGCAAACACGAAAGUGGACGUAUACGGUGUGACGCCUGCCCGGUGCCGGAAGGUUAAUUGAUGGGGUCAGCGCAAGCGAAGCUCCUGAUCGAAGCCCCGGUAAACGGCGGCCGUAACUAUAACGGUCCUAAGGUAGCGAAAUUCCUUGUCGGGUAAGUUCCGACCUGCACGAAUGGCGUAAUGAUGGCCAGGCUGUCUCCACCCGAGACUCAGUGAAAUUGAACUCGCUGUGAAGAUGCAGUGUACCCGCGGCAAGACGGAAAGACCCCGUGAACCUUUACUAUAGCUUGACACUGAACAUUGAGCCUUGAUGUGUAGGAUAGGUGGGAGGCUUUGAAGUGUGGACGCCAGUCUGCAUGGAGCCGACCUUGAAAUACCACCCUUUAAUGUUUGAUGUUCUAACGUGGACCCGUAAUCCGGGUUGCGGACAGUGUCUGGUGGGUAGUUUGACUGGGGCGGUCUCCUCCUAAAGAGUAACGGAGGAGCACGAAGGUUGGCUAAUCCUGGUCGGACAUCAGGAGGUUAGUGCAAUGGCAUAAGCCAGCUUGACUGCGAGCGUGACGGCGCGAGCAGGUGCGAAAGCAGGUCAUAGUGAUCCGGUGGUUCUGAAUGGAAGGGCCAUCGCUCAACGGAUAAAAGGUACUCCGGGGAUAACAGGCUGAUACCGCCCAAGAGUUCAUAUCGACGGCGGUGUUUGGCACCUCGAUGUCGGCUCAUCACAUCCUGGGGCUGAAGUAGGUCCCAAGGGUAUGGCUGUUCGCCAUUUAAAGUGGUACGCGAGCUGGGUUUAGAACGUCGUGAGACAGUUCGGUCCCUAUCUGCCGUGGGCGCUGGAGAACUGAGGGGGGCUGCUCCUAGUACGAGAGGACCGGAGUGGACGCAUCACUGGUGUUCGGGUUGUCAUGCCAAUGGCACUGCCCGGUAGCUAAAUGCGGAAGAGAUAAGUGCUGAAAGCAUCUAAGCACGAAACUUGCCCCGAGAUGAGUUCUCCCUGAGACUUAGAGUCUCCUGAAGGAACGUUGAAGACG